UCAGGGAGGGAGGUAAAGCCGGCAGUCUAUCUGUGGUAUAGCAGCCGCACACACUUUGUUGGAUUUAAACCUGUGGAUUUAUUCCCUGUGAGCGCCAGAGAUUGUUGGACCGUUCACCCUCACGUUCACCCUCACGUUCACCAUAUGGGACAAGUAAACACACACAAGAAUGAACGAGUGUCAAUAACCUGGCGUAAUAAUAUACCAAGAAGAAAUACCCUUGUCUAACGCCCCUGAGUGGGUGUUAUAGUCUUUUAAAAUAAAGCAACACAUCAGAACACAUCUGUAAGAAAAAACAAACAUUAGUAUUGUCCCUUUCUACCCUUCUCACUUAUCAACAUUCAUUUGACUAUCAACUCAGAACAAGAGGGAUUAUAACAGGACGGUGGUGGAGCUUUUAAAAGGUACGAGGAAGAAGACUGAAACACGAGACUCGUACAUAAGGAAGAAGAGUGAUGAAUAUCCAAGUAGAGGGCAGGAGAGGAAGAAGACACAAGCGAAGGAAGAUGGACUGCAUAAAGGAAGCUUGAGAGGAAGGUAACGGUCACAGGAGGAUGCAUAGUGUACUGCCGAGCUGCUUGGAGGAGAACUUGGAUCAAAUACCCACGCCCCAUGAAGUGACAACACGUGGAGGAGUCAGCUCACCAUUGUUUCCAGGUCCAGGUGUGCGGGAGUGUUGGUGACUGAGGCACUCACAUGGAUGACCUGGUCUGUCUUGGCGAGCGCUCCCUUCAGUGUGGCGGAGUCCGGGUCAGCGCGCCACAGACUGAGGUACCUGUCGGGAACCAGCAAAUUUAAAUAUAGCGAAACAAAAAAAACAAAAAAAAACUGAAAUAAACAAAACCUUAGAUUGGAAAAAAAGCAUUAUGAUAUUUUUCGAUUAUUUUGAAGCAGUUAAUGAAGAGAAAUCACUAGAAAUUAAAGAGA